AACUACUGACGAUGACGACGAGGGCGACGAGGACGACGGUAUAAUGAUGCAAUCUCGAUGAUUGCGGUCGUCGUCGUCGUCGUCGUAGUCGUCGUCGUCG